GAUAUGGGGCCAUUGCACUUUAAGGGGCGCUGGCUUGAUCUGGCCCCAGGUGGGUAGUAAGUAACCCAGUAAUAACAUCAGCUGGGGGAGGGUGAGUCCAUUUCACAAGAAGACCAUGCAGCUGCCCCCUAGAAUGUGAGCAGUGGGUCGCCCGCGUCAGAGGCACCAGGACCAGCUGUCUGUGGCUGGGUGGUGACAUGUCCAUCGCUUGUACUGACCCAAUGCUCCAGCAGGGGGCACUGUGCUCUUGGAGCAACAGACAACCCUUGCAAGGGACAUAACAUAGAGGUCUUGGCCGUUAAAGAUCCCACCACACUUCUCACAAGUCAGGGUGUGAACCCUGCUGUCCCGGCUAGAUUCCAUAUUGGAUAAUUACCUUCUGUCUCCCUAAAUUCCCCCUGCAGUUUCAAGUGGAUGUGGGAUUCUCCUUCACUUCCUGUCCUAAACUGUUGUGUAGCGUUGCUGUGCGCUGUUAAACAGCUGCUACGUUCCACCCCAGAGGUGGCUGCAUUACAGUGGUGGGUGAGUGACUCCUGCUUUUGUAUAUAGCUUGUAAAAUGCUUGAGACCCUGCAGGGGUCUGUGGAGCUGUGACUAGGGCGUUCCAGACCCUGCGCUGGUUGUGUUCUCUCUGCAGCCCCCGUCAGGCUGGGCGUCUCUUCUCUCUGAUCUCUCCCAGCAGCUCACAUGGACGCGGCAUCCCAGGGGCAGACAGCUCCCUCUCCUGUGCCAAGUAAGACUUUCUUUACACUCCUUCGCCCAGCAAACUCCCAGCCCUGUGAGUAGAGGGUUCUGAUGACCUUCAUUCUGUUCUAGUUCUCAUUGCAGACACCGGGCCCCCGUUCGCUCCCCUCCCCACCCUUGGUAAGUACACCACUGCCUGCUCCACAAUCCUUUGCUCACCCCCCUGGGACCGGGACAGCGCCACCUCUUACACGCAGCCUCUACUCUCCUUGCAGACUUCCACCCGGCCCUCGCUGCCUUCCCGCCGCUGAAGCAGGAGAGUGCGGAACGGGAGGCUGAUUCUCCUGUGGAGUGCCAGGUGCCCGCGGGGCAGGGAGCAGGGGAGCGGGUGCUGCCAGUCACCGUCGGAGACCAAGGCUCACCUGAGACAACACCUGGCGGUGAGCACCCCCUGCUGGGUGACCAGGCCUCAGCUACAGACCUGCAAGGCCCCAGCGUGGUGAGCCUGCUCCAGACCAUGCAGCAGCUCCUGGUGCAGAUCCUCCGCACCUCGCAGCAGCAGCAGGUGCUGCUGGAGAGCCUGGCCAGCGACACCAUCGCCCACCUUCACCUCAUCUCCGACAACCUGGUGCAGGUGGGUGAGACCCUGCACGAGCUGCUGCUCCAGGCUCACGCCCGCUCCGCCGACCUGCCCGCCCCGCUCAGCCACACGCCCCC
rnacentral:lncRNA from 1 species